rnacentral:tmRNA from 1 species
GGGGGCGUACCGGAAUCGACAGGGAAGUAAGCUUUGUAGUAAGCACGCCGGAGCAUGAUUGGUUACUCCGUAAAAAAUAACGAUUGAACUCUAGUUGGCACUCCCAGCUACGCUAUGGCAGCCUAAUCCUUCGGGAUAAAGUUUCCUAGCUUCCAUAGGCCGCAUGGUUGAGGCUCCAUACACAUCACGCCGCCUUCACCUCUUGGAGAUCGCCCGCCGCCCUAGUCUGAGCGGUAGGUUAAAUAAAGGACUUAAGGCCUGGGAUCAGAGGGUGACCAAUCUUUCCCCGGGCUCGAAAAUCUAACUGGCCACUAAGCGUGUAGAAAGCUGCCUUGCGCUUUCGCUGGACGCGAGUUCGAAUCUCGCCGCCUCCACUU